GCCAGGCACAGUGGCACAUGCCUGUAUUCCCAGCUACUCGGGAGGCUGAGGCAGGAGGAUCGCUUGAGCCCAGGAGUUCUGGGCUGUAGUGCGUUAUGCCGAUCGGGUGUCCACACUAAGUUUGGCAUCAAUAUGGUGACCUCCCGAGAGCAGGGCACCAUCAGGUUACCUAAGGAGGGUGAACCCACCUAGGUCAGAAACGGAGCAGCUCAAAACUCCCGUGCUGAUCAGUAGUGGGAUCAUGCCUGUGAAUAGCCACUGCACUCCAGCCUGGGCAACAUACCGAGGCCCCAACUCU
rnacentral:SRP_RNA from 1 species